rnacentral:rRNA from 1 species
UACGGGGGGGGCAAGCGUUGUUCGGAAUUACUGGGCGUAAAGGGUUUGUAGGUGGCUUGUUAAGUCAGACGUGAAAUCCCUCAGCUUAACUGGGGAACUGCGUCUGAUACUGGCGAGCUUGAGUGCAGGAGAGGAACGCGGAAUUCCAGGUGUAGCGGUGAAAUGCGUAGAUAUCUGGAGGAACACCGGUGGCGAAGGCGGCGUUCUGGUCAGUAACUGACGCUGAGGCGCGAAAGCGUGGGGAGCAAACAGG